ACUUUUCCUAGCCCCUAAAAUCUGCAAGCAUAACAAUUCUAUCAACUAAAUUAAAUCAUUUACCUCCCCUUCAUAGUAUAGGAGAUAGAAAUGUACCUAGGCGCUAUAGAGGAAGUACCGCAAGGGAAAGAUGAAAGAAUACAACUGAAGUGUAAAAAAGCAAAGACUAACCCUUCUACCUUUUGCAUAAUGAACUAGCCAGAAAAACUUUAGCUAAAAGUAUUUAAGUUAAAAACCCCGAAACCAGACGAGCUACCCACGAACAACUUUUAGAGUGCACCCGUCUAUGUGGCAAAAUAGUGGGAUGAUUUGUGGGUAGAGGUGAAAAGCCAACCGAGCCUGGUGAUAGCUGGUUGUCCAGAAAACAAAUUUAAGUUUGACAUAAAACUUACCCCAAGAACUUAGAAUCCUCCACGUAAGCUUUAUUGUUAGUCUAAAGAGGGACAGCUCUUUAGAACCCAGGUUAAACCUUUAUUAGAGAAUAAAAUACACAUAAUUACAUAGUUGGCCUAGAAGCAGCCACCAAUUAAGAAAGCGUUAAAGCUCAAAUCUAUAAUCCCCAUACAAUCUGAUUAUAAUUUCUCAAUUCCUAGACAAUUACUGGACUAAUCUAUAACCCUAUAGAAGCACUAAUGCUAGUAUGAGUAACAAGAAGACUUCUUCUCCUUCACCCAAGCGUAUAUCAGAUCGGAUGACCACUGAUAGUUACCUCCCCAAAAGUCUAAAACAAAAAUAAAUUCCACUUUAAUUAACUUCGAUUGACCCAACACAGGAGGGUGAUUAAAGGAAAGAUAAAUAGAAGUGAAAGGAACUCGGCAAACAUAAACCCCGCCUGUUUACCAAAAACAUCACCUCCAGCAUGAAAAGUAUUGGAGGCACUGCCUGCCCAGUGACUAACGUUAAACGGCCGCGGUAUCCUGACCGUGCAAAGGUAGCAUAAUCAUUUGUUCCUUAAUUAGGGACUUGUAUGAAAGGCAAGACGAGGGUUUGACUGUCUCUCACCUCUUAUCAGUGAAAUUGACCUCCCAGUGAAGAGGCUGGGAUAAUAAAAUAAGACGAGAAGACCCUAUGGAGCUUUAACUAAUUAUUCUAUAAAUAAUAUUCAACACCCUAUAUAGGGCUUAAAACUACUUUUUACUAAAAUAAUAGUUUUGGUUGGGGUGACCUCGGAGAACAAUGCAUCCUCCGAAUGAGCAUGACUAAGACUCACUAGUCAAAGUAGAUUCCUCCUCAUAAAUUGACCCAAGCCAGUCUUGAUCAAUGGACCAAGUUACCCUAGGGAUAACAGCGCUAUCCUGUUCGAGAGUUCAUAUCGACAAUAGGGUUUACGACCUCGAUGUUGGAUCAGGGUAUCCCAAUGGUGCAGAAGCUAUUAAUGGUUCGUUUGUUCAACGAUUAAAACCCUACGUGAUCUGAGUUCAGACCGGAGUAAUCCAGGUCGGUUUCUAUCUAUUAGCAAUUUCUCCCAGUACGAAAGGACCAGAGAAAUAGAGCCUACUGAACCCCCUGCGCUCUCAAUUUAAUAAAUGAAGUAAUCUCAAUUUAGUAAUAAUGCACAAGCUUACCCCUAGAAAAGGGGACC
rnacentral:rRNA from 1 species